GCUUCGGUGGCCUCAGUGGUUAGAUAGUGCGCCUCUGAUGCGGGAGGUCGUGGGUUCGAACCCUGACCGAGUCA